rnacentral:hammerhead_ribozyme from 1 species
GCACUGCUGAGGAGUCCCACAAUAGGACGAAACAGCUGUCCAAUGC